rnacentral:rRNA from 1 species
CCAGACUCCUACGGGAGGCAGCAGUGAGGAAUAUUGGACAAUGGUCGGAAGACUGAUCCAGCCAUGCCGCGUGCAGGAUGAAGGUCUUAUGGAUUGUAAACUGCUUUUGUAAGGGAAGAAUAAGGGCUACGCGUAGUUUGAUGACGGUACCUUAUGAAUAAGGAUCGGCUAACUACGUGCCAGCAGCCGCGGUCAUACGUAGGAUCCGAGCGUUAUCCGGAGUGACUGGGCGUAAAGAGUUGCGUAGGCGGUUGUAUAAGUGAAUAGUGAAAUCUGGUGGCUCAACCAUACAGGCUAUUGUUCAAACUGUACAACUUGAGAGUGGUAGAGGUCACUGGAAUUUCUUGUGUAGGAGUGAAAUCCGUAGAUAUAAGAAGGAACACCGAUGGCGUAGGCAGGUGACUGGACCAUUUCUGACGCUAAGGCACGAAAGCGUGGGGAGCGAACCGGAUUAGAUACCCGGGUAGUCCACGCCGUAAACGAUGGAUACUGGCUGUUGGAGGUAUCGACCCCUUCAGUAGCGAAGCUAACGCGUUAAGUAUCCCGCCUGUGGAGUACGGCCGCAAGGCUAAAACAUAAAGGAAUUGACGGGGGCCCGCACAAGA